CCAAUAGCGUAUAUUAAAGUUGUUGCAGUUAAAAAGCUCGUAGUUGAAUUUCGAGACCGGUUUAUUGGUCGUGCUUUUGUACGUACUGGUAUUAUUGGUUUCUCCUUUCUGACGAAUCUUAAUGCCAUUAAUUUGGUGUUUUGGGGAAUCAGGACUGUUACUUUGAAAAAAUUAGAGUGUUUAAAGCAGGCUCACGCUUGAAUACAUUAGCAUGGAAUAACGGAAUAGGACGUUUGAUUCUAUUUUGUUGGUUUCUAGGAUCGACGUAAUGAUUAAUAGGGAUAGUUGGGGGCAUUAGUAUUCAAUUGUAAGAGGUGAAAUUCUUGGAUUUAUUGAAGACUAACUACUGCGAAAGCAUUUGCCAAGGAUGUUUUCAUUAAUCAAGAACGAAAGUUAGGGGAUCGAAGACGAUCAGAUACCGUCGUAGUCUUAACCAUAAACUAUGCCGACUAGGGAUCGGAUGAUGUUAAUUUUUUAAUGACUCAUUCGGCGCCUUACG
rnacentral:rRNA from 1 species